rnacentral:lncRNA from 1 species
UUUUUCCAUUGAGUUGACUUCUAUAUUAAAUUCCUGAGCUUAAGUGGUUUUGAUUCGAAUUAUAUUAGUUUUUUAUGUGUAAUCUUUGAGUUUUAAUUAGGUUAAGUAGUCUUAGUCUUUUCUAUUAUUCAACUUAGGCUUUAUAAUGUUUUUAAUUAAUGCUUAGCUUAAUCGUGAUAGUCUUGUGAUUGAACUUAUUUGUGCAUGUCUGAUUCAUUGUUUGUAGAAUUGUUUCAUCCAUUUUGAACCCCAGCUGUUUGAUCAAAUUAGAGGGUAACUUAGGGUAGUUAAAAGGGGUAUUUUGUGUAGAUUAAGUUAGGGAAAUCUUUUUGUACUGAAAUAAGAAGUCCCUAGAAGCUUCUAGGUUGGGGUUUGAGUUGCAAUUUCUGAUCUUUGAUAGUAUUACUUGGGUAGCAUGUUAGUAAUCUAGGGGUAACUUAGUUAAAAAAUAAUUCAAAAGGGGUAGGGGUAAAAACUAAUUCUGGAGGUUGCCCUACUUGCCUUGACUAAAUAGGCAUUCAUUCUUGACUUUCAAGAAAAAAAAAGGGGAGAAGAUAAGAUAAAAAGAGGGAGAGAAUGAGAAAAAGCGAGAGUAUUAUGACUUGAUUUAAAAGGGCUAAAAGAACAAUUAGAAAAAAAAUAAAAAGAAAAAUAUAAAACUUUUACUGUUCUACUGAUAUCCUGAAAUACUUUCUGGUUUCUUUUUUUGGGUAUGAAAUGAGGUCGAAAUUGAUUUCUGGGGUUUGCUGUGCAUUACUCGUUUGAAGUUGGUUUUCUUUUCAAUUUUUUUUUUUUAAUUAUGGG